AUGCAUUUCCUGGCGAGCAAAAGAGAAAAUGAUAGUACAUCAGUGGUCUAUCCAAACCUCUUUAAACCUUAAAUGAAAAACGAUAAGCAGCUCUAUAUAAGAUGUAUCGGUAGGCUCACAAUCAUUUUAAAGUGUGCAGGGUGAUAUAAAUCUUAAUUGACUGAAGAUCAGGUGGGAACCAUUCAUUGGCAUAUGGUCUUGGUACCGAAAUUUCGUUUGAUAGAUUGCCGAGGUUCUGAGAUAUUCGGUCUUUAUGCUGCUUAUCAUCUGGGUAUCAUGGUUGUAUCUUUUACCGAAAAAUAACGGGGACGCAAGUCUAGAUCUUCCAUGAUACUAUACAUACGUGUACAUAUUACAUACUGCAUUCGACCUCAAUAAGUGAUAAACAAUCACAUGUCCAAAACAAAUAAGUGAUAAAAAUAUCACAUUUAUCCGGGUGUCAAGUUCGUCUCUCUGCUGUACGAAAGUACUGACCUGUUCACGGACUUGCACCUGUGCCCUCAUGCAUAUGAAAAUCAAGUUCCUCAUCAAUAAGUGAUUAUAUCACAUAGGGCUUGUUUUCAAAUCAAAAUAAGUGAGUAUCUCACAGUUUAUACGGUCAAACAGAUGAUAAUCGGUAUACUCACCGGUAAGAUGAACUCUCGUGCAUACCUUGAUACGGGAAUGUGUCGUGAUGUGGAUGAACACCGGUCGGUAAGUAUAAAUCAUACCUUAACGUAUCCCCUCGCCAUGAUUACAUCUGAUAAGUUGAGCUUAAGUGGACAACAAUACCGAUAAUUGUUAUAGGAUGCUUAUCUUAAUGUUAACUAACUGAACAACAAGAGUGUUUUGGCAUGACCGUACACUGAUAUGAUUCUCUUACCCUCGAAACUCGCAAAAAGAAUGUCUGUAUAUAUUUAUUUACUGCU
rnacentral:lncRNA from 1 species